AUGAGGAACGGUGCGUGCAAUUCUAGGGUUGAAACAAAGUGUCUCUUGGACUUCCAUUCACAGAGAAUUUCCUUUUCCUCUUUAUCGCACGAUGCACCUCACUUAGAAAACAGUCGCCCAAGUCUUUCGGCUUUGUACUCGAAUGGGGCUUGUUUGAAGAAAACUUGUGAUUCAUUAAGGAUUAAUGAAGAUGCAUUUUGGAGUUUGAAGAAACCAAGAAGUUUGAAGAUGUAUUGGCUUAGGAAUUUGGUUUUGGAUUUUGUAGGUUUUCAUGUAUAG